UGGGGAAUCUUAGACAAUGGGGGCAACCCUGAUCUAGCCAUGCCGCGUGAGUGAUGAAGGCCCUAGGGUCGUAAAGCUCUUUCGCCAGGGAUGAUAAUGACAGUACCUGGUAAAGAAACCCCGGCUAACUCCGUG
rnacentral:rRNA from 1 species